rnacentral:rRNA from 1 species
UACGAAGGGGGCUAGCGUUGUUCGGAAUUACUGGGCGUAAAGCGCACGUAGGCGGGUUGUUAAGUCAGGGGUGAAAUCCUGGAGCUCAACUCCAGAACUGCCUUUGAUACUGGCGAUCUCGAGUCCGGGAGAGGUGAGUGGAACUGCGAGUGUAGAGGUGAAAUUCGUAGAUAUUCGCAAGAACACCAGUGGCGAAGGCGGCUCACUGGCCCGGUACUGACGCUGAGGUGCGAAAGCGUGGGGAGCAAACAGG